rnacentral:rRNA from 1 species
GAUUACGGCCAUACUACACUGACAACGCCCGAUCUCGUCUGAUCUCGGAAGCUAAGCAGAGUUGGGCUGGGUCAGUACUUGGAUGGGUGACCACCUGGGAAUACCCGGUGCUGUAAGCA